GCCGGUGAAGUGUUGAUGGAUACACGUCUGGUUGUGGACCAGAAGUAGCGCGGAUCGUUACCGCCCAUCGGUUCCA
rnacentral:tRNA from 1 species